rnacentral:rRNA from 1 species
CCUACGGGAGGCUGCAGUGGGGAAUAUUGGACAAUGGGGGCAACCCUGAUCCAGCCAUGCCGCGUGUGUGAAGAAGGCCCUCGGGUUGUAAAGCACUUUCAGUGAGGAAGAACGCCUGGUGGUUAAUACCCAUCAGGAAAGACAUCACUCACAGAAGAAGCACCGGCUAACUCCGUGCCAGCAGCCGCGGUAAUACGGAGGGUGCGAGCGUUAAUCGGAAUUACUGGGCGUAAAGCGCGCGUAGGUGGCUUGAUAAGCCGGUUGUGAAAGCCCCGGGCUCAACCGGGGAACGGCAUCCGGAACUGUCAAGCUAGAGUGCAGGAGAGGAAGGUAGAAUUCCCGGUGUAGCGGUGAAAUGCGUAGAGAUCGGGAGGAAUACCAGUGGCGAAGGCGGCCUUCUGGACUGACACUGACACUGAGGUGCGAAAGCGUGGGUAGCAAACAGGAUUAGAUACCCUAGUAGUC